UGAGCAUGGUAUCAUGGAGUUCCCCAGG
rnacentral:piRNA from 1 species